UGCACAUUUCUCUAAAGAGAGAGAAACUCUGAAUUUUAAUGAGAUUCUUAAAGUUGUCCAUGACCACAAAAGGUUUGACUCAUCUACCUCUCUCUGUCUUUCCCAGUUUUGACUUUCUGCUGUUCCCAGAAGGCCUUGAGAGGUGUCCAGCAAGACCAUCUCUCAUGAAGCUUUCUCCUGAGAUGACAGAGUCACAGGAGGCUGGGUGAGGAUCUACUCAGUAAAUCUAGCCUACAAAGACAGGCUAUAGAGGAAGAAUCUGCUCAGGAGGACAGAGGAAGCCCAGAUCUGCUGAAAGGAGUGGGGAGGAAUCCGAACAGGCCAGGAAUGACAAGGGCCAACCUGUCCAGGUGAGAAGAACAGGUUACUAUGGAAACAAGCCAUUUUGUAGUAUUGAGUGAUGGAUGCAUAAGGUGGGCAGAACUGGUUAGGAUCAGAGUUGCA